CUCUUACUAAUCUAGGAUUUAUUAAACGCAGUUGUAAAGAUUUUAAUGAUAAAACAGCAUUAUGUAGUCUUUAUUUUUCUUUAGUUCGCUCUAAUCUGGAAUAUGUGACCAUCAUAUGGGAAACCAAUAAAACAGAUUUAUUUAAUAGUUUAGAGGGAAUACAAAAUAAUUUCCUGAGAUUUACUUCUUAUAGCUGCCAAAUAAACAAAUUAAGACACUCA